rnacentral:rRNA from 1 species
AUGCAAGUCGAACGGCAGCACGGACUUCGGUCUGGUGGCGAGUGGCGAACGGGUGAGUAACAUAUCGGAACGUAUCCAAUAAUGGGGGAUAACUAAUCGAAAGGUUGGCUAAUACCGCAUACGCCCUACGGGGGAAAGCAGGGGAUCUUCGGACCUUGCGUUAAUGGAGCGGCCGAUAUCUGAUUAGCUAGUUGGUGGGGUAAAGGCCCACCAAGGCGACGAUCAGUAGCUGGUCUGAGAGGACGACCAGCCACACUGGAACUGAGACACGGUCCAGACUCCUACGGGAGGCAGCAGUGGGGAAUUUUGGACAAUGGGCGCAAGCCUGAUCCAGCCAUUCCGCGUGAGUGAAGAAGGCCUUCGGGUUGUAAAGCUCUUUCGCAAGGGAAGAAACGUUACCGGUGAAUAUCCGGUGAUAAUGACGGUACCUUGAUAAGAAGCACCGGCUAACUACGUGCCAGCAGCCGCGGUAAUACGUAGGGUGCGAGCGUUAAUCGGAAUUACUGGGCGUAAAGCGUGCGCAGGCGGUUUUGUAAGUCAGAUGUGAAAUCCCCGAGCUCAACUUGGGAACUGCGUUUGAAACUACAAGACUAGAAUAGGUCAGAGGGGGGUAGAAUUCCACGUGUAGCAGUGAAAUGCGUAGAGAUGUGGAGGAAUAUCAAUGGCGAAGGCAGCCCCCUGGGAUCAUAUUGACGCUCAUGCACGAAAGCGUGGGGAGCAAACAGGAUUAGAUA